UGUCUUAUCGGAGUGUGCUGUUCGAUCUUGCCAGUCCAGCGUGUAUCCCGCUAGCUGAAUAUCCAUGUCGUCAUUCAGCCACGAUUACGUGAAACAUAGGAUAUUACCGUUUUUGAUGUCCCGUUAGUAGGAUAUUCGUGAUCGUACCUCGUCUAAUUUAUUGUCCAAUGAUUGCGCGUUGGCGUGUAGUAUUGACGGUAAAGGCAGCUUUCCCAGUCGCCUUCGCCAGGUCCUGACUAGGCAUCCGGCUCUUUGUCCUCUGUACCUGUGUCGCUUCCUCAUGCAAAUAAUGGGGAUGCCGGUCCUGUGGGGUGUUUGGAGAAUGUCUUGUGCGUCGUCUUUGUUAUAGAAAAAAUCAUCGUCUAAUCCGAGUACAUGUUCAGUGGUGGAAGAGACCCUCUGGAGUUGCUGCAGUGUGUCUGGGGCUGCUGUGUGUUCUCCUACUGGCUGGGAUCAUAGGCCUGUCUGUCUACUAUGGAGUCAUUGAUCAUCACGACUCAACAGAGAGAGACCAGCAACAGGACAGCAACAGCCUUCUGACUAAGGAGAGAGACCAGCUACAGACCAGUUACAACAACCUGACUAAAGAGAGAGGCAAAGCUUUUUGUGAUAGGUGAGAUAUAAACUGUGAUAAAUUAGAAGUAAAAUCAACAGUAAUUAUAUAUCAAUGGGUUUAUGAAGAUACUGGCUAUGUGUCACGUCCUGACCAGUUUAAGGGGUUAUUUGUUAUUGUAGUUUGGUCAGGGCGUGGCAGGGUGUGUUUGGUUUGUGUUGUUGGGAUUUUGGGGUUAGUUGUAUGGUCUUUAUAUUUUUACGUUCCCUUCUAGGAGUUGUAUUUCUUUGUUUUGGCCUGGUAUGGCUCUCAAUCAGGGACAGCUGUACAUCGUUGUCACUGAUUGGGAGUCAUACUUAG